rnacentral:snRNA from 9 species
AUAUUUACCCUGCGUAGGGGAUACCGUGAUCAUGCAGGCGGUUCCCCUAGGGCGAGGAUGCUCCAUUGCACUGCGGAGUGGUUGACGCUUGCGACUUGUUUUAUUUUUAUCAAUAAAAAAAUCAAUGUAUACCAGAAUAAUAAUUUUUUUAUACCUCGAAUAGAACUUAAAAUUAAUAUUUUUAUAAUAUGGAACUUCGUUCCUA